rnacentral:rRNA from 1 species
CCUGGUUGAUCCUACCAGUAGUCAUAUGCUUGUCUUAAAGAUUAAGCCAUGCAUGUGUAAGUAUGAACUAAUUCAGACUGUGAAACUACGAAUGGCUCAUUAAAUCAGUUAUAGUUUGUUUGAUAGUAUCUACUACUUGGAUAAUCGUAGUAAUUCUAGAGCUAAUACGUGCAACAAACCCCGACUCUGGAAGGGAUGCAUUUAUUAGAUAAAAGGUUGACGCAGGCUAUGCCUGUUGCUCUGAUGAUUCAUGAUAACUCGAUGGAUCACACGACCUUUGUGCCGGUGAUGCAUCAUUCAAAUUUUUGUCCUAUCAACUUUCGAUGGUAGGAUAGUGGCCUACUAUGGUUGUGACGGAUGAUGGAGAAUUAGGGUUUGAUUUUGGAGAGGGAGCCUGAGAAAUGGCUACCACAUCUAAGGAAGGCAGCAGGCGCGUAAAUUACCUAAUCCUGACACGGGGAGGUAGUGACAAUAAAUAACAAUACCGGGCUCUCUGAGUCUGGUAAUUGGAAUGAGUACAAUCUAAAUCCCUUAACGAGGAUCCAUUGAAGGGUAAGUCUGGUGCCAGCAGCCGCGGUAAUUCCAGCUCCAAUAGCGUAUAUUUAAGUUGUUGCAGUUAAAGCUCAUAGUUGGAACUAGGGUCAUCCGGUCUGCCUUAUGGUGAGCACUGGUCUACUCAUCCCUACUGUCGAUGAUGCACUCCUGGACUUAAUUGCCCAGGUCGUUCUUCCAACACUGUUACUUUGAAAAAAUUAGAGUGUUCAAAGUAGGCCUACGCUUGUAUACAUUAGCAUGGGAUAACAUCAUAGGAUUUCGGUCCUAUUGUGUUAGCCUUCAGGAUCGGAGUAAUGAUUAACAGGGACAGUCGAGGGCAUUCUUAUUUCAUAGUCAGAGGUGAAACUCUUGGAUUUAUGAAAGACAAACAACUGUGAAAGCAUUCGCCAAGGAUGUUUUCAUUAAUCAAGAAUGAAAGUUGGGGGCUCAAAAAUGAUCAGAUACCGUCCUAGUCUCAACCAUAAAUGAUGUCGACCAGGAAUCGAUGCAUGUUAAUUUUAGGACUCCACCGGCACCUUAUAAGAAAUCAAAGUCUUUGGGUUUUGGAGGGAGUAUGGUCGCAAGGCUAAAACUUAAAGGAAUUGACGGAAGGGCACCGCCAGGAGUGGAGCCUACAGCUUAGUUUGACUCAACACGGGGAAACUUACCAGGUCCAGACAUAGUAAGGAUUGACAGACUGAGAGCUUUUUCUUGAUUCUAUAGGUGGUGGUGCAUGGCCGUUCUUAAUUGGUGGAGCGAUUUGUCUGGUUAAUUCCGUUAACGAAUGAGACCUCAACCUGCUAACUAGCUACGCGGAGGUGAUCCUUCGUGGCUAGGUUCUUAGAGGGACUAUGGCCACUUAGGCCAAGGAAGUUUGAGGCAAUAACAGGUCUGUGAUGCCCUUAGAUGUUCUAGGCUACACACGCGCUAUGCUAAUGUAUUCAACGAGUCUAUAGCCUUAGCCGACAAGCCUGGGUAAUCUUUAAAAUUUCAUCACGAUGGGGAUAGAUCAUUGCAAUUGUUGGUCUUCAACAAGGAAUUCCUAGUAAGCGUGAGUCAUCAGCUCACGUUGACUACGUCCCUACCUUUUGUACACACCGCCCGUCGCUCUUACAGAUUGAAUGGUCUAUUGAAGUGUUUGGAUCGCGGUGACGUGGAUGGUCCACCGCCCGUUACGUUGCCAGAAGUCCACUGAACCUUAUCAUUUAGAGGAAAGAGAAGUCGUAAUAAGGUUUCUGUAGGUGAACCUCCAGAAG